AGGUACUGUUGUGAAGAGGAAAUGAGGGACGUUGUUGCGUGAUCUAGCCCAGCCAGGUGAUGAAAUCCUUGUAGCGAGGGGUGGACAAGGAGGGAUUAGCUUGGUAGAAAUGCCAGAGCGUAGCAAGAAAAAGUUGAUGGCUUUGACCACUAAUGUGAUGAGAGAUGAUAGUGAUAAGGGCCUUGGAUUACAAGUUGUGAAAUAUUUGGCUGCCAAAUAUGAAGAGCUAGGGUGUGAAGUGAAAUGGAUGGGCAAGCCUGAUAAGGUGAUCUAGUCACAUUGGUCUGGUUACCGUUGUUAACUUCACUUCAUGCGAACCUUUAGCUUAAUACAUAUUUCUCUUGCACUUGACUACCAAGAUGAAUUUUGAGCAAGACUAGUUUUUGCUCUGAAGCAAAGUUUGGUGUUAAAAUUUUGUAGAUUGUUGCUCAUAUGUUUCUAGGCUAGCUUUUGUAGGUUUUGGGGUUUUCUUUUGUGACAUAUGUUCAAUCAUGAAUUUGGAAAGAAAAUUAAUGGAAAGCCCCAAUUUUUGGAUGAUUAUGAAAUGCAUUUCUUUUCCUAGCAGCAGCUAGAUGCAAACUUAGCUCAUCACGCUUGUCAAAAUGAAGUGAAGUAUAUAAAAGCAUAACAAAACAGUAAUGCCAAGGAAAACGAAGUCACUUGAGAGAUUAGAAAUCAGUAUCAAAAUGAAAAUCGAUGUCUUAUGAUUAUUAAUGUAUUGAGUUGUGUCCGCAGAACCGAUGUACUCAAAACCAGUGCACAUCGAUUUUACAAAACAAAAGCGAUGUCUACAAUGAAACAACACAUCGGUUCUAGAAAAAGCAAGCGAUGUACAUAAAACCAUUGAACAUCGUUUUGCUUAAAUGAAAACGAUGUGCUGUGUUAAAUGAAACAUCAGUCCUUAAAAAAAAACCGAUGAUGCCUAAAGAUACAGACAUCGUUCCUAAGAAAAUAAUGUGUCAAGCUACAUGUAAAAAUGCCCACGAACAAACAAUACUCAUGGCAACUGAUGUCUACAAGUGUACUGGACAUCGCUUCUGGAAUAGAAAUCGAUGCAAAUGUUCACGUAGGUAUUGUUCGACAUAUACUUUAUUAAGCAUAAAAUGUGAAAAUAUGAAGAAUUAGACAUACCUAACAUACAAAAAUAUGAUGAUUAUAACGAUUAUACAUCGAUUUGUUUUUUAGAAUCGAUGUUGGUUGUUGUCUGGGACAUCGGUUAAAAACGCGCUUAUACUGAUGUCUAUAUCUUUCUCUACACCCACUAAGACAUCGGUCGAAAAUUAGUUUAACAUCGGUUCUGGGCCGAUGUCUAUGAACAAAAUUCUAGU